rnacentral:rRNA from 1 species
GAUGAACGCUGGCGGCGUGCCUAAUACAUGCAAGUCGAGCGAACAGACGAGGAGCUUGCUCCUCUGACGUUAGCGGCGGACGGGUGAGUAACACGUGGAUAACCUACCUAUAAGACUGGGAUAACUUCGGGAAACCGGAGCUAAUACCGGAUAAUAUAUUGAACCGCAUGGUUCAAUAGUGAAAGACGGUUUUGCUGUCACUUAUAGAUGGAUCCGCGCCGCAUUAGCUAGUUGGUAAGGUAACGGCUUACCAAGGCAACGAUGCGUAGCCGACCUGAGAGGGUGAUCGGCCACACUGGAACUGAGACACGGUCCAGACUCCUACGGGAGGCAGCAGUAGGGAAUCUUCCGCAAGGGGCGAAAGCUUGACGGAGCAACGCCGCGUGAGUGAUGAAGGUCUUCGGAUCGUAAAACACUGUUAUUAGGGAAGAACAAAUGUGUAAGUAACUAUGCACGUCUUGACGGUACCUAAUCAGAAAGCCACGGCUAACUACGUG